rnacentral:lncRNA from 1 species
UAUGUCAAUUGGUGACUAAAAAAAGAGUAUUUUAAUAUGAAGUGGUCGGAGAAGAGAAUAAUGGAUGGAUGGAUGGAUACAAAUAUGAUUAAACGAAAGAACAGAUGGACAACAUAUUGAAUUUAAAAAUCGCUCUUCCAUAAGAAACACGAAACGUAACUUAUCAUGCUCCUUCAUACUUGUGGCAUUCGAUUACCAAAAACAAAAACCAAAAAGAAACCAGAAAGAAAGACAGAGAAGAUUGAAAUUCCUUUGACUUGAAAUUGAAACCGCAAUUUCGAGCAUCGCAAAGCUAUCGGCUUUGAAUAAAAGCUUUUGAAAAUUCCUCGGCAAAUUCGAACGUGCUCGAUUAUAUCGGACUAAUGGAACUGGAAGUAUCGUUGUUCAGGAUCAGCAACAGCAAACCAGAGACCGCGGCAAACACGCCAGCGGACAUCAAACCAAGCGCCGGAAGC